AUGCAAGUCGAACGGUAACAGGAAACAGCUUGCUGUUUCGCUGACGAGUGGCGGACGGGUGAGUAAUGUCUGGGAAACUGCCUGAUGGAGGGGGAUAACUACUGGAAACGGUAGCUAAUACCGCAUAACGUCGCAAGACCAAAGAGGGGGACCUUCGGGCCUCUUGCCAUCGGAUGUGCCCAGAUGGGAUUAGCUAGUAGGUGGGGUAACGGCUCACCUAGGCGACGAUCCCUAGCUGGUCUGAGAGGAUGACCAGCCACACUGGAACUGAGACACGGUCCAGACUCCUACGGGAGGCAGCAGUGGGGAAUAUUGCACAAUGGGCGCAAGCCUGAUGCAGCCAUGCCGCGUGUAUGAAGAAGGCCUUCGGGUUGUAAAGUACUUUCAGCGGGGAGGAAGGGAGUAAAGUUAAUACCUUUGCUCAUUGACGUUACCCGCAGAAGAAGCACCGGCUAACUCCGUGCCAGCAGCCGCGGUAAUACGGAGGGUGCAAGCGUUAAUCGGAAUUACUGGGCGUAAAGCGCACGCAGGCGGUUUGUCAAGUCAGAUGUGAAAUCCCCGGGCUCAACCUGGGAACUGCAUCUGAUACUGGCAAGCUUGAGUCUCGUAGAGGGGGGUAGAAUUCCAGGUGUAGCGGUGAAAUGCGUAGAGAUCUGGAGGAAUACCGGUGGCGAAGG
rnacentral:rRNA from 1 species